rnacentral:rRNA from 1 species
UACGUAGGGGGCAAGCGUUGUCCGGAAUUAUUGGGCGUAAAGAGCUCGUAGGCGGUGUGUCACGUCGGCCGUGAAAACCUGCAGCUUAACUGUGGGCGUGCGGUCGAUACGGGCAUCACUGGAGUUCGGCAGGGGAGACUGGAAUUCCUGGUGUAGCGGUGAAAUGCGCAGAUAUCAGGAGGAACACCGGUGGCGAAGGCGGGUCUCUGGGCAGUAACUGACGCUGAGGAGCGAAAAGCGUGGGGAGCGAACAGG